UUUCGCGUCACGAACAACGGACUAAGCGAAGGAGGGACUACUCGUAGUCUAAUAGGUAUGUGCUACCGAGACUGAUUUUACGUCUUGAUACAAAUCUUUGUUUCAUUUACUUGCAGGCAAUGUUCAACCUCUCUUCCCUCAGGAACAAAUCAGCUCAAACGCUAGCAGCACUGUAGAAGUAGAGUUUGAACCUGGCUCAAUCCUCUUCAAAGGUACCGGUAAGUAAUUCCAGAAAGAAAGACAUUAUAUCAAGGAAGGAUGUAACCCGGCCAUUUUGUGUAGCAAAUUCUUCUGGUUACGAAUGUACAUGUCCGACUGGUUUUUCUCUGGGGCAAGAUAACAAGACAUGUGGAGGUAGUAAGUCAUUUGUCUUUCAGGCAUACUAUUCCUUAUAUUUGUUGACCAUCAGUGAUAUGAUUGAAACAGUUUUGCAUAUAGAGUUACAAACAGGAUACUAUACAAUUCAUUAUGCUUAUACUUUUACCAGUUCUCUUAGACUCAUGAGGUUAAAUGUCGUUAUAGUGCGAAAAUAAAUACGAGACUUUUUCCUUGUACGGAACGCUCAUUGAAAUGUACAGUUUAUUGAACCACGCGUUUGUAGUUUUUAGGUGGCAAACGUUGCGCCUGCCUUAAACCAAUAAUAACGCGCUCAAAUUCAACCGUUUUAACAGUCAUUAUAAAAGAAUUUUUUGGCGUACACUUUCGCCCCUUCCACGCUGCGAUGGAAAAAUAGAAAACGCAGUUUAUUCCUAUGGUUAGGGCUACCGUCCACACUUAUCUUUUUCGAAAACGGAGCAGAGCGAUUCUACACUCUUUCGUCGGCUGGUUAUCCAGCCGUGGGGAAAUAACCAUCUCAAAUAUGUAAACGAACAAAGACGAAAGUGUGUGGAAUCUCUAUGCUCCGUUUUCGAAAAAGAAAAUAGUCUGGAAGAAAUCCUCUCUGAAUUUGUUUAUCAGACAAUUAUGAAUGAAAAUGUGACCAAAAAGAACUAUUAUGAAUGAAAUAGUACUACAAA